rnacentral:rRNA from 1 species
GACGAACGCUGGCGGCGUGCUUAACACAUGCAAGUCGAACGGAAAGGCCCUGCUUUUGUGGGGUGCUCGAGUGGCGAACGGGUGAGUAACACGUGAGUAACCUGCCCUUGACUUUGGGAUAACUUCAGGAAACUGGGGCUAAUACCGGAUAGGAGCUCCUGCUGCAUGGUGGGGGUUGGAAAGUUUCGGCGGUUGGGGAUGGACUCGCGGCUUAUCAGCUUGUUGGUGGGGUAGUGGCUUACCAAGGCUUUGACGGAUAGCCGGCCUGAGAGGGUGACCGGCCACAUUGGGACUGAGAUACGGCCCAGACUGCUACGGGAGGCAGCAGUGGGGAAUAUUGCACAAUGGGCGGAAGCCUGAUGCAGCAACGCCGCGUGCGGGAUGACGGCCUUCGGGUUGUAAACCGCUUUCGCCUGUGACGAAGCGUGAGUGACGGUAAUGGGUAAAGAAGCACCGGCUAACUACGUG